UUAACUAAUUAUGGAACAUGAUAAAGUUGGAAAGAUACAAAAAAGAUUAGCAUUGCGCAUGCGCUGGAAUGACAAACAAAACAGAGAAAUGUGGUAGGUCUCA
rnacentral:snRNA from 1 species